rnacentral:rRNA from 1 species
UACGGAGGGUGCAAGCGUUGCUCGGAAUUAUUGGGCGUAAAGGGUAGGUAGGUGGUCUCAUUUGUCUGGGGUGAAAGCCUUGAGCUUAACUCAAGAAGUGCCCCAGAAACGGUGAGACUGGAGUCCUGGAGAGGGUCGUGGAAUUCCCGGUGUAGCGGUGAAAUGCGUAGAGAUCGGGAAGAACACCCGUGGCGAAGGCGGCUCUCUGGGACGGUACUGACGCUGAGACGCGAAAGCGUGGGGAGCGAACAGG